rnacentral:rRNA from 2 species
UUGAUAGUACCUUACUACUUGGAUAACCGUGGUAAUUCUAGAGCUAAUACAUGCUGAAAACCCCAACUUCGGAAGGGGUGUAUUUAUUAGAUAAAAAACCAACGCCCUUCGGGGCUUCUUGGUGAUUCAUAAUAACUUUACGGAUCGCAUGGCCUUGCGCCGGCGACGGUUCAUUCAAAUUUCUGCCCUAUCAACUUUCGAUGGUAAGGUAUUGGCUUACCAUGGUUUCAACGGGUAACGGGGAAUUAGGGUUCGAUUCCGGAGAGGGAGCCUGAGAAACGGCUACCACAUCCAAGGAAGGCAGCAGGCGCGCAAAUUACCCAAUCCCGACACGGGGAGGUAGUGACAAUAAAUACUGAUACAGGGCUCUUUUGGGUCUUGUAAUUGGAAUGAGUACAAUUUAAACCUCUUAACGAGGAACAAUUGGAGGGCAAGUCUGGUGCCAGCAGCCGCGGUAAUUCCAGCUCCAAUAGCGUAUAUUAAAGUUGUUGCAGUUAAAAAGCUCGUAGUUGAAACUUGGGUCUGGCUGGCAGGUCCGCCUCACCGCGUGUACUUGUCCGGCCGGGCCUUCCUUCUGGAGAACCUCAUGCCCUUCACUGGGCGUGUUGGGGACCAGGACUUUUACUUUGAAAAAAUUAGAGUGUUCAAAGCAGGCCUUUGCUCGAAUACGUUAGCAUGGAAUAAUAGAAUAGGACGUGCGUUCCUAUUUUGUUGGUUUCUAGGAACGCCGUAAUGAUUAAUAGGGACAGUCGGGGGCAUCAGUAUUCAAUUGUCAGAGGUGAAAUUCUUGGAUUUAUUGAAGACUAACUACUGCGAAAGCAUUUGCCAAGGAUGUUUUCAUUAAUCAGUGAACGAAAGUUAGGGGAUCGAAGACGAUCAGAUACCGUCGUAGUCUUAACCGUAAACUAUGCCGACUAGGGAUCGGGCGAUGUUCUUUUUCUGACUCGCUCGGCACCUUACGAGAAAUCAAA